GGAAAGCAAAGUAGGCUGCGGUGUGUAAGCGUCUGUGUCUGUAUGUGGGUGCUGUGAAGUGCUCUCCAACCAUUGUUUGUUUACUGGCCAAUCUCAAACAACUUCCGGAAACUGAAAGUUCGCCGCGUUAUCUGCAAAAAAUUUACUUCAGCAACAACGCCAGCAUCAGCAACAAUAACAACAACGAGAGACUGCAACAGAUCCUGAAAGGUGCCAGAGCUACGCAAAUCAAUUGGCCACAACGCUCUAGGCAGGCCAUACCCGACGUUAAGACUGAGUUAGCAAAUCUAAAUACCACAAUGUGGUCAUCUUCCAUCGGGUGGACCGCACCUGGGGACAGGACACUUUGGACAAUAGUAAUCAGUACCAGGAAAGAUACAGCGGACCCAUUCGAGAGCACUGUUCUGGCUCUGGAGCCUUCAACCGGCCGCGUGCAAUACGAUUGUGGAAUUCCUUUGGCGGCGACCGGGCGAACGGACGGGUGCAGUGUUUCUACUCGAGCAACCGCACCUUUUACUCACAGUAUCAAAAUCAACUGAUUGGCGAUCGACUGUCCAGCAUGGCUUAUACCUCGGCAGCAGGUGGAGAACUGGUCAUUGUCAAUGGCCCCAACGCUGAGUUGUGUAGAUGAAUCCCCACGAUGUGGCCGUAACAGCCUAUGGUAAUAAGAUGUAUGUGGCCGAAUUGAAUCCCAUGCGUAUCCACAAGUGCCCGUCGAGACACCGGCAGCGGGAGUGGACGCAAGCCAGACGACGAGUGGCAGGGCCGUACUGGUGGCCUCAUUAAUGCUGAUAUUUGCACGCUCCACCUUUACGCUGACCCUGCUCAUGGCCAGGCGGCGAAAACGAGGUAGCCAUCAGUAACGCUGCCGCGUCGAGCGAUCUGGUCUACCGCAAGCUCACUGCGUCCAACUAGAGUCUAAUCUAACCAUCUCAGUAUCUUAAUUGUCGUGUUAAUUAUACUCGCGCAAUGUCCUACAUCUAGUUGUGUCCUAUUAUGUUCCGGUGUUAUUUCGUUACCGAUUUUUGCAUAUCCAUUUGCAUAUUUGUACACGUGU